rnacentral:rRNA from 1 species
UCAGUUCGGAUUGGAGUCUGNAACCCGACUCCAUGAAGCUGGAUUCGCUAGUAAUCGCGCAUCAGCCACGGCGCGGUGAAUACGUUCCCGGGCCUUGUACACACCGCCCGUCAAGCCAUGGGAGCCGGGAGUGCCUGAAGUACGUGACCGCAAGGAGCGUCCUAGGGUAAGACCGGUGACUGGGGCUAAGUCGUAACAAGGUAAC